AUUGAACGCUGGCGGCAUGCUUUACACAUGCAAGUCGAACGGUAACAGGCCGCAAGGUGCUGACGAGUGGCGAACGGGCGAGUAAUGCAUCGGAACGUGCCCAGUCGUGGGGGAUAACUACUCGAAAGAGUAGCUAAUACCGCAUACGAUCUAUGGAUGAAAGCGGGGGACCGUAAGGCCUCGCGCGAUUGGAGCGGCCGAUGUCAGAUUAGGUAGUUGGUGGGGUAAAGGCUCACCAAGCCAACGAUCUGUAGCUGGUCUGAGAGGACGACCAGCCACACUGGGACUGAGACACGGCCCAGACUCCUACGGGAGGCAGCAGUGGGGAAUUUUGGACAAUGGGCGCAAGCCUGAUCCAGCAAUGCCGCGUGCAGGAAGAAGGCCUUCGGGUUGUAAACUGCUUUUGUACGGAACGAAACGGCUCUGGUUAAUACCCGGGGCUAAUGACGGUACCGUAAGAAUAAGCACCGGCUAACUACGU
rnacentral:rRNA from 1 species